AAAAACGACACCUCAGUACAGUGACAGACGCAGAAGCACUACGAGCAUUUUGUCUGGCUUAAAAAACUAAAAGACGACAAGUGUCGGAGGUUUACCUAUAACCCUGCCGUGAAGAGCCACAGCAGGGCCUCAAACAGCCUCACAUCUCUCUAGCAGACACUACAGGAAAGGAUGCAGCCACUGCAGGCUGAGCCUAGCUGGAGAGGUCGGAUGGACGCGGAUUGUUUUCACUUACCGUUACCGAUCAACCGCUGCGAGUUCAACUGGACGAGUUGCAC